rnacentral:rRNA from 1 species
UACGUAGGGUGCAAGCGUUUGUCCGGAAUUAUUGGGCGUAAAGGGCUCGUAGGCGGUCUGUCACGUCGGGAGUGAAAACACGGGGCUUAACCCCGUGCCUGCUUCCGAUACGGGCAGACUAGAGGUAUGCAGGGGAGAACGGAAUUCCUGGUGUAGCGGUGAAAUGCGCAGAUAUCAGGAGGAACACCGGUGGCGAAGGCGGUUCUCUGGGCAUUACCUGACGCUGAGGAGCGAAAGUGUGGGGAGCGAACAGG